UUCUUUUAUUUGUCCUUUUUCAUGGACAAGUUUCUUCUUUAGUGUAAAUGCGUUUAAAUUCUUCAUUUUCUUCAGCAAAAGAGUUUUGAAUCGCGUUGACUCUCUCGCGAGAAGUAAAUCACAGUUUCUUUCUGUUGCAAGGCAUGUGAUUGGCUGUUUGCCACUGAUGUCACGCAUUCAUGUGCACGCGCUCCACAAACUCAGGAUCAAUGCCUGAGUUGACAGAGAAAGUUGAUGAUUAGCAUCAUGGUACCAACAAAGCCGGAUUGGAGUGGUUUGGUUUUGUCAACUUGAAACUAAUCCUAUAACCCUGAGUUUGUUCAACUACCACCAUGGUACAGGCCCCUGGAUGUGCACAGCAGAAUCAUCAGACUAGGGAGCUGUUACACACAGAAGGGAACGGAGACACUGAUGGAAUAUAAAGCCAAGUUUAUUGAACAGUCAGAGAGCUUGAGCAGAGUGCAGGGAUCGUGGAUGGCAGGCAGACGAGGAGCAGACCAGACACAGAGACACUCACGGGAGAUGAGGAGAACACUGGGAGACGAGGAGAACGCUGGAGACAGGUGAGUAUUCCUCAAAGGAGUCCUUAAGGUGAGCAUGCAUUAACGAGACCGGACAGUGACUGUGUGUGCUGCUGGUAAUGGUGCUGAUGCGUGGCAGGUGUGGAUGAUUAGUACUCUGGUGAGGGAGUGCACUGUGAUUGGGUGACUGUGGAGCCUGGCGUGUCUGUGACAGGAGCACUACAGUACAUUGCCGAUCUCCUUCAACCUUAUUCUGCUCCAAGAUCUUUCUGUUCAUGUAACCAAUUGCUUCUUUCUGUUCCUUGGUCCUGCUUAAAGAUGAAGGGUGACCGAGCUUUUGCAGUUGCGGCUCCUAGGCUGUGGAAUGCGCUUAGUUGUUGUGAGAUCCUCCCCUACAUUGGACACAUUUAAAUCUAGCUUGAAGACUCAUUUAUUCUCUUUAGCUUAUGAUGUUGCCUUAGUUAUAUAGGGGAUUUUAGUUGUUUAUGGCUUAUCUGCAUGCUUUAUUUUUAUCUUAUGAAUUAGUUUUUGUUUUCUUUUAUCUUGUCAAAACUGUUUAAAAUUGUACAGCACUUUGGUACAACACACAUUGUUUUUA